rnacentral:rRNA from 1 species
GUGGAUUAGAUACCCGGGUAGUCCUGGCCGUAAACGAUGGAUACUAGGUGUAGGAGGAUUCGACCCCUUCUGUGCCGUAGCUAACGCGAUAAGUAUCCCGCCUGGGGAGUACGACCGCAAGGUUGAAACUCAAAGGAAUUGACGGGGGCCCGCACAAGCGGUGGAACAUGUGGUUUAAUUCGAUGCAACGCGAAGAACCUUACCUGGGCUUGACAUCCUCGGAACCUCUGUGAAAGCAGGGGGUGCCUUCGGGAACCGAGAGACAGGUGGUGCACGGCCGUCGUCAGCU